GGCUUGGUGUAAUGGUUAGCACUCUGGAUUCUGAAUCCAGUGAUCCGGCAUCAAAUAUUGGUGGGACCU